CUCAGCUCACUGCAACCUCCAUCUCCUGGGCUCAAGCGAUUCUUCUGCCUCAGCCUCCCAAGUAGCUGGGAUUACAGGCGCCAGCCAACAUGCCUGGCUAAUUUUUGUAUUUUUAGUAGAGAUGGGGUUUCACCACCUUGGCCAGGCUGGUCUCGAACUCCUGACCUCAGGUAAUCUGCCCACCUUGUCCUUCCAAAGUGCUGGAAUUAUAGGCAUAAGACACCGUGCUUGGCUAAUUUUUAUAUCUUUGGUAGAGAUGGGGUUUCAUCAUGUUGGCCAGGCUGGUCUCGAGUAGCUAGGACCACAGGUGUGCGCCACCACGUCUGGCUAAAUUUUUUAAUUUUUUUGUAGAGAUGGGGUCUCACUAUGUUGACCAGGCUGGUCUCAAACUCCUGGCCUCAAGUGAUCCUCCUGCCUCGGCCUCCCAAAGCACUGGGAGUACAGGUGUGACCCAUGGCGCCUGGCGGUCUCCUAGUAAUUGGAUGAGUCCGUUUGUUUGUGUGCGAAUCUGAUGGUGCAGGUUGUGAGGUGUGGCCCCCGAGCCCACAGGUUUUUGACUAAGUGCUCUUCCUGCCAACCUGUGGGCGCCUGGCUUCCUGCCUGGGCGGCUUCUCUGUUCUCGUCUGUGAGGAGGGAAGUGAAAGCAAAAGAGCCCGGAGACGCUCCCGUGGGGGCUGGUGUGCGUGUCUGCAGAGGCUGCCGUGUGAGCCUCUGUGCAGAGCUUGG
rnacentral:lncRNA from 10 species